rnacentral:lncRNA from 10 species
CCGUGCGGUGGACUCUCGCGAGAGCGCGCGGCGCGGUGACUCGUCGCUGAGGGACUUUAAGAUUGUAGAGGGGCGCGGAGGGUCCUCCCCGGGGCGGAGGGACACAGAGGGAUUCUAGGGAACCUGCCGUCGCGAGUCCCGCUUCAGGCGGAGAAUCUAGGCGGCGGCGGGGCCUCCCUGAGGCGGAGGAGUCGGCACCGGGGCCUGGCUGCCGGGGAAGGAGAGCACGGGAGCGGGGACUCCUGUGUCUGGCGGAGGGACACGGCGUUCCGGUGGAGGGAUCUGUUCCUUGUACCUGGUCCAGGGUUGCGGUCGGGGAUGGAGCGGUUACCCCGACCCUGCGGGACCUUCUUCCUCUGGCGGAGGUGCACGGCGCGGCGUGGUGUUUUUCUGGCGGAAGUAUCUGUGCGUGGCCCCAGGCCCUUCCCGGCGCGGUCUCAUCUGGGGCCACUUGUUGGCCCUCGCGUUGGGGAGGUUCAUGUGGUGCAUCCUGAUGAGAAGGGGGGUCACAGGGGUCUCGGGGCCAGGGUUCAGCCAGCCAGGCCCCAGCUUGCUCUCUUCUGGUGCUGCCCCUGUCCCUGAAUUCAUAGACCCGGCUUUCCCUCUCUUGAGCACCUACUAUGUGCCAGGCUGCGCUUUGCGCAUGUAGCAGAGGCAACAGUGUCACCUGGGAAGCUGGUUUCCCCCAAAGGAACUCUUGUCUGUCCGUUGUUGCAGAGCCAGCGCAUGAGACCAAGUGUGAGUAUCAGGCAGUGCAGCCUUCAUUCAGUGGCCAUGGAAUUGGAGAAGUGGGAGGGUAGCUCGCAAAUCAAGCUCUCAGCUCUUGGAAACUGAGAAGUUACAGGUAACCUGGAUCCCAAAAUGAGAACAGAAGAACCACUUCAUGUGACUUGAACCAGAUCUGAAAUCUGAAGUGAAGCCCAGAAGAGUGUAGCUGAAGACAAGUGAACCUACUUGACCAGCAAACGCACAUAUCAAAGGGCCCCCUGGCUACUAAGGAAGAUGAAUGAAGAAAGGGCCCAUACAUGGACACCUACUUCAUAGUAAAAUCUGAGGACAUGAAGUAUAAAGAGGACAUUCUGAACACUUCAAGAGACAGCACCCUUAGCUAGGCAUGC